UUUUUUUUCUGUUUUUUCUUGGUCUUU
rnacentral:sRNA from 1 species